rnacentral:rRNA from 1 species
GAUGAACGCUGACAGAAUGCUUAACACAUGCAAGUCAACUUGAACUUCGGUUUGGGUGGCGGACGGGUGAGUAACGCGUAAAGAACUUGCCUCACAGCUAGGGACAACAUUUGGAAACGAAUGCUAAUACCUGAUAUUAUGAUUAUAUGGCAUCGUAUAAUUAUGAAAGCUAUAUGCGCUGUGAGAGAGCUUUGCGUCCCAUUAGCUAGUUGGAGAGGUAACAGCUCACCAAGGCGAUGAUGGGUAGCCGGCCUGAGAGGGUGAUCGGCCACAAGUGGACUGAGACACGGCCCUUACUCCUACGGGAGGCAGCAGUGGGGAAUAUUGGACAAUGGACCGAGAGUCUGAUCCAGCAAUUCUGUGUGCACGAUGAAGUUUUUCGGAAUGUAAAGUGCUUUCAGUUGGGAAGAAAAAAAUGACGGUACCAACAGAAGAAGUGACGGCUAAAUACGUG